rnacentral:rRNA from 1 species
UACGUAGGGGGCAAGCGUUGUCCGGAAUCAUUGGGCGUAAAGAGCGUGUAGGCGGCUCGUUAAGUCUGUCGUGAAAGCCCUGGGCUCAACCUGGGAAUUGCGAUGGAUACUGGCGGGCUAGAGUACGGUAGAGGAGAGUGGAAUUCCCGGUGUAGUGGUGAUAUGCGUAGAUAUCGGGAGGAACACCAGUGGCGAAGGCGGCUCUCUGGGCCCUACCUGACGCUGAGACGCGAAAGCGUGGGGAGCGAACCGG